GGCGACCGGCGCACGGGUGCGUAACGCGUAUGCAACUUGCCUGUCAGUGGGGGAUAACCCGGAGAAAUUCGGACUAAUACCGCAUACACUUAGUUUGUUGCAUGACAGAUUAAGGAAAGAUUUAUUGCUGACAGAUAGGCAUGCGUUCCAUUAGUUAGUUGGUGAGGUAACGGCUCACCAAGACAGCGAUGGAUAGGGGGACUGAGAGGUUGACCCCCCACACUGGUACUGAGAUACGGACCAGACUCCUACGGGAGGCAGCAGUGAGGAAUAUUGGUCAAUGGGCGAAAGCCUGAACCAGCCAAGUCGCGUGAAGGAAGACGGUUCUAUGGAUUGUAAACUUCUUUUGUACAGGAUUAAAAGCUUCUACGUGUAGGGGAAUUGCAGUUACUGUACGAAUAAGCAUCGGCUAACUCCGUGCCAGCAGCCGCGGUAAUACGGAGGAUGCGAGCGUUAUCCGGAUUUAUUGUUUUUAAAGGGUGCGUACGUGGCAGAGAAAGUCAGGGGUGAAAAGCUGCAGCUCAACUGUAGUCUUGCCUUUGAAACUUCUCAGCUAGAGUGUAGAAGAGGUAUGUGGAAUGUGUGGUGUAGCGGUGAAAUGCAUAGAUACCACACAGAACUCCGAUUGCGAAGGCAGCAUACUGGGCUAUAACUGA
rnacentral:rRNA from 1 species